rnacentral:lncRNA from 1 species
AAUGGAAAAGCACAGAUUUACUAAAAACAGGACCAGCAGCUACUGCCAUACACGAAAUACACCAGAGGAACAGUUUAUAACCAUGAUAUUCUUGAGCAUCAAAUUUACUAAGCAAAGACCUUUUUAAUAGCUACUUAGCAAGCAUCAUCUCAUUGUUCUUGAUGGGGAAGGGCAUGCAAACAAACAAACAACAACUUUAAAAACAAACAAAUAACUUCAAAAUAAACCACAGGUGUACAGUCAGUUGACUAACAAUCAGUUAGAGUGCUUGCAUUAGCAAAAUUUAGGAUGUUUUUUUUUUGUUAUUUAAGAGCAAAAUACCCAGGAGAAAAUGGAAACGGAAAGGAAAUUUAUCUGAAUUUGCUUCAGUUCAAAACAAUUCCAAGCUGGGAGCUGGGUUUGUGCUAGUCAGACUGUUGAACUGAACCCUGAAAGAGCAUACCUAGAGGCUGACAUUUACUGCAUAUCACCUGAUCAGGUGAUUGUGCAUAUUGUCAAAUUUGACUCAAGAUGGUGUAUCUACUGAUGCUGAGAAAGUACCAUUAUAAAGGAAUGGCAGGAUACCUUUCAUUAAUGGGAACUGUUUACAUCGAACAAGGGAAUGACGUGACAUGGCUCCAGGUGUGAAGGAGGGGGAUAUACUGUUCACAGUGGUGACAAUUAUGUCUCAGAGAAUGUUCUGCAUUCAGUGCUGGCAGCAUGAAGAGGAAGUCAAAGAGAGUUAUCCAGCAGCAUUCUUGCCACAAAGGUGUUGUGGGCAACCUGGGUGUGAACAUGGCUCUAGAAGGAUAUGCUGAGGUCACUGACCCUAUGAAAUUGCUCAAUGCUCCACUCAGUUAACUUCAAGUGCAGCGACCCCCUGAAGGGUUGUUAUUGGCAUGUCGGUCCUGAGCAAGAACAACCUCUUAAAGCCUUGAAUGGUAAUUAGUAGUCUGAAACAACUUAACCAAACCCACUAGAUAGAAGGCUGGUAAAUUUAAGCUAAUAUUAGCAGAAUGUCAUCGUAAGUGGUUGCAUAACAGACACAAGGUGUGGUAUAGAAAUAAGAUCAAGACAUGAAGAAAUUUCUCAAGCCUUUGAGUGGCCACCAAUUGAUUACUUAAGCCUAGUCAUAGGCUACCUGCAAGAUGUUGCCAAAGGAGGGUGGUACAUUAAAACAACUGGAAACCUUUUCACUCUCUCAUAAAAGCAGAGUAAAAAAUAUUGUCUCCAGUAAGUUGUCAAUGAUUUAAGUGUGAGGUGCCCAACUAGGCUACUGUGAUUGACCUGUUGCUAAAGGUGCGAUUUCCAAUUUAUGUGCGCAACCUCCUUGAAUGUAAGCUGAAAUUUGAUAGAAGCAGAAUCUAUUUUUUGAAAACAACGUGAAAACCAAGUUUACCUCUGCUAUUAAUUGGAUUUUUGUUAUGAUGGAUUGUGUAUAUCAACAGAAAAUCAAGAGAUCACCAAAAACCCUAUUUUCCUUACAGCUCCUCUAAUGAUGAGAUUGAAGAUUUAGUGACAAGUUCUGUGGGAUAAGAUCACAGAAGGCUGUUGCUAAGCAAUUUUUAUACUGGAUAAGCUUGGUUGCACAUGUUGUCAUACACCAAAAAAAUGUAAGCACAAAAGGAACAGUGUAGAAAAUUUCUCGGAAGGAGUCCGAGGAAAUCCUUUUGGUUACCACAAAGAUUCACAACCUCUGGCUGGGUCCAAUUUAAGUAUGCAAUUCAGACUUCUGUUCAGACUGCACAAACUCAGAGUUUAUUCUGCUCACCUGAUAAUUGCAAAUGAACAGGGACUCUAUGCGUACUCAACCAUCGAGUUAUUUUUUUGUAAAAAAAAUACCUCUGGGGUAUGUUAUCAUCGGGUCAACGGUCAAUGGAUGAGUGAGAGAUGUAUGUAAUUCACACCAAUCAGAUUGGAGCUACUAUAAACAACCCAUCAAAUUGCCACUUGUUAAGGUGAAGCAUGUGUGUGGAGAUUUCAUCCUGAUUUUAGAACGGCAAUCUUUGUUUUUCUACAAACAGAAACAGGUAUUCUUCUGACAUUUCCAAUGCUUUGUUUGCUAUGGUUGAGCCCAGGAAUUUGUGGAUGGGUUUCAAAAGAGUUCAGAAUUUGAUUAUUGGUUGAACAAUCAUAGUCUUUGGAAUACACUAACAUGUCAUCCAAGCUUUGCUCCGAGAAAUUUCGAAUAAAAUGAGUCUUAGCCACUCGGUAACUUGGUAAAUUCUAAGACAGGAACGAUUGUUUUUAGUGCAAAAUGCACUAUUGGGAUGGUGAGGGGGCUUUCAUCCAUGAUGGUAUUCGUCUGGCUUCCAUCAAUAUUAUUUGCAUGACAUGCAGUUCACAAAAAAAGAAUCGAGUCCAAACCAUUUCCGUUUGCACAAAAUUUUUGAGUUUGUGAAUACAAGUUUCAAUUAAGUAAUGAUGUUCACAGAGUAAUACUGUCUUCUUGUUGAAACUUUCCUUGGAAUCGAUACAGAGAUACUCAUUUGAAGUGCUUUUCUCUGUCAAAACCAAAGAAAUUACAGAUGGCUAGUUAUGAAUGAGAACACUGCUGAAUUUUGAAAUCUGUUUUUGUUGCAGGUAAAUGUAACAAGAUAUGUUUACAGUAUUUGUUACUUUCAAAUGGUAACUUGACACUUGUUUUUCAUGCACGAGUGGUUGCAAUUAAAACUGAUGAAUCAGUGACUCUUGUUCGCAUGGUCAGAAUAGACAAACAAGAAGCCAAUCUAGUGGCACAUCCAGAAACUUUAAGUUGAUAUAAACAUUUAGAUGUCUCUUUUCUUAGUGUCUUUCGUGGCAUUUUAAUGUCUUCUGUUAAUGGCAAUUCUUAAAAAUGGGGAUUUUUAGCACAGAUUUUCUAAAAGGUUUGUGCUAUGGAACCUCUUCAAAUAUCCCUGAAGACUCCAUGGCGGCAAGUAAAAGCGCAAAUUAAUUAGAUUUAUUUUUAGACUUUGAGGUGCCACAGUAGUUCUUUGGUUUUGAAACAGAUUCCUUACACGGUUCAAAAAGGUUAACUUACUACAUCCCCCAUAAAGUGCCAAAACUUUUUCUGUAACUGACGUUCUGUAACCAAAAAACUCUCAUGCAUUGGGAAGGAUAAUGUGACAAGGAAACGUCCCAAACUCUGCAGAUUUCAUAGCGUCUUACAAAAUUAAAAGAACUUUUCACAUGUCUGGUUGUUUUAAGUCUCAAGUUAGGUAAGGCUAAUGUCUUCUCGUUUAAAUGGGUUUUGAUAUCGAUAUUAAUUUGAAGUGGUUUCUAUGAAUGUCAAAACCGAAAAAAAAAUAUGAUCAUUGCUGGUAACAGAAUAAGACCAUGCUAAAUUGGGUCUUGUUGUAAAAUGAGUUAAAUUAAAUAAUACGUUGACCAGUAAACAUGACAAUUUUACUCUUCACGCAGCCUUUGUAACUUGAUACUUUUGUUUUCCUCAUAAAGGUAUACAACACGAAACUCUUGUCUUCUCGAAAACAUAGGAGUAAUGUGCUUUUUCUUCAUUGCUGGAAAAAACUGGUAUAAAGUUGAAUAUCUGGUGAAAAUGGAACAAGAACGAUUUUCCUUCAGAACGCUAAUUAUCAUUUCACAGAUAAACAAAAACUAAUCUAAUUAUUAGAUAGUCACAUCUGACAUGUCAAGUCACGGAAUAGCGUGUUCUUAUUCUGUUGCCACCUUUGCCCUUAGCAAUAAAACCACUUCAAAUUAAUACACAAUGAUGUCAAUUAUUAAAUACAACUGAGAAGCGUUUCAAAGAGAACCUAGAGAACAAACUAUUUUCAAUGACUGACUCUUGAAAGCUGGUACUCUAACUUGGAACAAUCCCCUCUUAACAGAUGUCAGCAACUACCGGCACCUUACAAAUGACUUUAUCCAUGAUGU